rnacentral:rRNA from 1 species
CGUGCCUUAGGCAUGCAAGUCGAACGGUGGUAGCAAUACCGCAGUGGCGGAAGGGUGAGUAACACGUAGGAACGUACCCAAUGGUGGAGGAUAGCUCACCGAAAGGUGAGGUAAUACUCCGUAUCUCGCAAGAGCAUAGCGCCUUACCGCGCGCCAAUGGAGCGGCCUGCGGCCUAUCAGUUUGUUGGUGAGGUAAAAGCUCACCAAGACUAUGACGGGUAGCUGGGCUGAGAGGUCGGCCAGCCACAAUGGAACUGAGACACGGUCCAUACAUCUACGGAUGGCAGCAACCGGGAAUCUUGGACAAUGGGGGAAACCCUGAUCCAGCGACGCCGCGUGAAGGAAGAAGGUCUUCGGAUUGUAAACUUCUUUUGCCGAUCAUAACGAUCGGAGAAUAAGCACCUGCCAACUACGUGCCAGCAGCCGCGGUGAUACGUAGGGUGCGAGCGUUAUCCGGAUUUACUGGGCGUAAAGGGUUGCGUAGGCGGUUUAUUAAGUCAACACUGAAAUCUCCAUGCUUAACAUGGAACCCGGUCUUGAUACUAGUAAACUUUGAGUCUUGGAGAGGUAACUGGAACUUGCAGUGGAGCGGUGAAAUGCGUUGAGAUUGCAAGGAACACCAAAGGCGUAGGCAGGUUACUGGCCGAGAUCUGACGCUGAUGCACGAAAGCCAGGGGAGCGAAUGGGAUUAGAGACCCCAGUAGUCCUGGCUGUAAACUAUGAACACUAGAUGACUGGCCCACACUUUUUUCUUGCUUGGCAAGAAGAUGGUGCGGGCUGGUUGUCGCAAGCUAACGCGUUAAGUGUUCCGCCUGGGGAGUACGGCCGCAAGGCUAAAACUCAAAGGAAUUGACGGGGACCCGCACAAGCGGUGGAGCAUGUGGUUUAAUUCGAAACAAAGCGAAAAACCUUACCAAGGCUUGAAAAUAUAGCUGCAAGUCUGAUGGAAACAUUGGACCUUCUUCGAGAGUGCUAUAACAGGUGCUGCAUGGCUGUCGUCAGCUUGUACCGUGAGGCGCACCCUUAAGUGGGUCAACAAGCGCAACCCCCAUCCCGUGUUAAAUAUUCACAGGAAACUGCCAGUUAAAAACUUGGAGGAAGGCGGGGAUGACGUCAAGUCAGCACGGCCCUUAUGCCUUGGGCUACACACAUCCUACAAUGGAUGUCUUACAACGAGUUCGCAACACGGUAACGUGAAGCUAAUCUCACAAAAGCAUCCUCAGUUCAGAUUGAGGGCUGAAAUUCGCCCUCAUGAAGUUGAAAUCGCUAGUAAUCGCGGAUCAGCAGGCCGCGGUGAAUACGUUCUCGGGUCUUGUACACACCGCCCGUCAAGCCAACAAAGUUGGUGGUGCCUGAAGU